AAACUUUCAACAAUGGAUCUCUUGGUUCUGGCAUCGAUGAAGAACGCAGCGAAAUGCGAUAAGUAAUGUGAAUUGCAGAAUUCAGUGAAUCAUCGAAUCUUUGAACGCACAUUGCGCUGCCAGUAUUCUGGCGGGCAUGCCUGUUCGAGCGUCAUUU
rnacentral:rRNA from 1 species